UAAGCCGUGCUCUUGGACUCAAUGGGUUAAAAUGCCAUCUCUCCUUGUGUAGCUGGACAAGCUACACCUCCCAACGGCCCCAUCCUAGAGUGUCCUGCUGAUAAUCAGUGCUUAUCCUAAUGCAGGCUGCUGAGAACUGAAUGAAUUCUCACCAAGUGCUGACACUCUCAUCGCGCCCGCCCCGUGUGCGGGACUGGGAGAAGAAAGCCACUAUUAAUGGAGUCACAUGGCUUCGGUUUGUCUGAUUGUAUUUGAAGUGUUCGGGGAGAAAAAAAGACAAGCCCACUUUAGAAACAGUAUGAAAGAAACGUGCUCAAUUCCACCGGGCAGCUGUAAUGAAUCCCUUUCUUCUGUGGGCCAGACGUUGAAGGAUGGGAUUGUACAUCGGAGUCAACACAGUUCCUAGUGGACCUGCUUCUCUGGCAGGCAGGCGGGAAGGGAGGGGGCUGAGGAUGUGGAGUCCAGGUUCCUCCAGCUGUUUGACCAUCACAUCAGUGAAAACACACCUGCCUCCUGCUGAGACUCAGAUUCCUCCUUGGAAAACUGGAAAACAAACAAACCCGGAAAAAAACAAACAACUCGGUUGCCGGUCGCCGGUGUCCUGAGGAUUACACGUGGUGACUGGCACAGACCCGGCAUAGGUUUAUUGGACACACUCAGGGCCCAAUAAAUGGGCGGUAACCUCCAACUCAUUCUUCCUUCUUUCACUGAGGAAACAGGGCACUUCAGAGGGAGAUGACCGAUUCUCUGCAAUGAGAAAGGAUUGCCUAACAGGCCCUCUUGUCAUGACCUGCAGGGGCCAUGCAGGACCAUCUCUCACUGUUCCCAGGAGGCAUCUACCAGCCUCCCCUCAGGGUGGCCUGCGAACAUGGGCCAGGAGUAGCUGCCCAUCUCCCUUGGCCAAGAAGAUGAGGCAUUCAGGAGUUUAGGAUAAGAAAGGUUACUAUGUAUAGGACCCAUCAUUCUCCAUCUCCCCAGAGGGGAGCCAGAGAGGGUAGGCCUGGGAGGGAGGCUCAGGGUUAGGUAGAAAGAAAUACCUGCUGUUGGCCAUAGAUAAGGGCACGGAGGGAGCCUGCCUGGUGUCUUCAGGAAUGGGGAUGAAUCUAUUGGCAAUCAGGGGUUCCCCUCCAGCAGGCCCCUGGAUGGCACUCCUACCCGCUGCCCUGCCCUCACCAGCCCUGGUCUCUUCUUCCAGGAGGAACAGAGCCUAACAGGGCAGUACCCUAAUGCAGGGGACCUGCUUUUAUCUUGACUCAGGACAAGUCCCAAAGGGAAAAGAAGAGAUCUCGAGCACAGCAGCUAAGAGCACUAACUCAGAAAUAAGACAACUUGAGUGGGGUGUCCCAGCUCUGCCUCAUACCAGCUGUGUGAGCCCAGGGCGGGUUAUUUAACCUGUCGGUUCUGCAGGACCUACCCCACAGAGGUGUGGGAGAAGAAAAUGAGAUCCUGUGUAUGAAAUGCUUAUUCAUGCCUGGGUACAGUGAACCUUCUGUAAAUCACAGCUACUACCCAACUAGCGUUUUGUGAGGCAGAGACAAAGCCAUCUACAGGUGGCCUUUCCCACUUGCAGUUAUUAUCUUGAGGCACAAAUCCAGGGGCAUGCCCAGCAGGGAUAUCUGAACCCCAUCCAGGUCAGCAGAGUCUAUGAGGUCAUGCCCAGAAUACCUUCAACAGGAAGGACAUGGCUCCUUCAGCUUUUGCAGCCCGGGAUGGUUUAUAAAGCAACUUGAUGUGCA